rnacentral:rRNA from 1 species
UACGGAGGGGGCUAGCGUUGUUCGGAAUUACUGGGCGUAAAGCGCACGUAGGCGGACCGGAAAGUUGGGGGUGAAAUCCCGGGGCUCAACCUCGGAACUGCCUUCAAAACUAUCGGUCUGGAGUUCGAGAGAGGUGAGUGGAAUUCCGAGUGUAGAGGUGAAAUUCGUAGAUAUUCGGAGGAACACCAGUGGCGAAGGCGGCUCACUGGCUCGAUACUGACGCUGAGGUGCGAAAGCUGGGGAGCAAACAGGAUUAGAAACCCUAGUAGU